CUGUCCGGGAGGGAGACAGCUUUGUUAUCAACUGCACUUACACAGACAGUGCCUCCGACUACUUCUUUUGGGGUAAGCAGCCAAAAGAUGGAACAGAAUCCACAGUCCCUGAGCAUCCAGGAAGGUGAGAAGGCGGUGCUGACCUGUAACUACACGAAUUAUUCUCCAGUGGUCUUCCAGUGGUAUCGACAAGAUCUGGGAAGAGACCUUGUCUUCUUGCUACUAAUACGUGAAAAUGAGGGUGAAAAACAGACAGGAAGACUGAGGGCCACCUUUGAUAAGACCCUCCAGCAGAGUUCCUUUUUUAUCAUGAAGUCCCAGCCUGCAGACUCAGCCACCUACUUCUGUGCUGCAGACACACAGCAGGGCCCUGCCACCUGCUUCCUGCACCCAAACUCUGCCAGUGGCUCAGUCAGCAGAGCUGCUGGCUGUGUUGACCUCAAGGGCUGACCCCAGCUCCAGGCCGAACAAGUGGGGGCCACUUGAAAGGGUUAAAGGCUGUGAGCCAGAGCCCUGGAUCUACCUCCAGCCUCUGAGUCUCUCCCUGCUGAUACCGCUGUGUGACUAUGAGCGGCUCCUGAGAAUCGCUGGUCUCAUUUGCCUCAUCGGAUCAUGAAGGGCUUACCACAUGAUUCUCAAGUUUGUCUCAGCAAUGAAAUCCAAACAGUCUAAUUUUUUAGGAAAAAGAAAUAUGCCCUGAAGAAUGUCAGAGAUCAAGAAAAGAGGAUUUAUGUGCAUGCAUGCACAUGUUUGUGUAUAUGUGUAUCUGUGUGCGUGUUUAAGGACAAUUAAUUCUGCCCAGUUUUUAUGACUAGGCCAGAACAGCCUGAGACAUAUAUAGGGUUAAACACAUUCCUUUUAAACAUUAACUGUAUAUUCCUCCACAUAAACAACAACAGCAAACAAACCAGUCUAAACAUUCCUGGGACCCUUUUAAACUGAACCUCAAAUAAUGAUGAUGGUAAAAAGAAAAAAUUGACCUGUGUUUAAAAAAAAAAAUUCAACCAAGUAAAAUUGAAGAUCUAAUUGUCUUUGUUAAAUAAUUCUUGCACUGAACAGCAUUCUAUCCAGUAAGCAGAGGGAAGAUCUGCAGAGCUGCAGGAAAGGAAAGGUUUUUUUUUUUAAAGGCUGAGAGAAGGCAUAAAAAAAAAAAGCAUUUAUUAGGAAGGAAUCCAGUGUUUAGGCAAGGUUGCCCUCCUAAGAGGGGUGGGGCCUUUCAGGAGACUGCCUCUGGAAAAUUCCAUCUUGGCCGGUUAAAAGUCCAUUCCUGAGGGGGUUGAAACUGUAGUUAGGUUAGUUAUUAAAUUUUGGUUUACUGAUUGGGGCCUUAAGUGGCUCUAUUAUGGAUAUGUGGUUUUUCUUUUGAACACUUAUAUUCUUUGAUAUUACUCAUCUUGUGAAGGAAGGGCCAGACUAUACUGGGCAACAUGCCAUAAGUCAUGAACACCACAAAGAUGGAUUUAGUGCUGUAGGAAAGACAUUAGAGUUCGAAGCCGACAGCCAAGAAAGAGCUCUUGAGAUGUCUUACGCACAAAAAAGAUGGUUUUAUCGAAGCACAGGAAUAGGGCCCAUGGGCAGAA